UACAGAGGGUCUCAAGUCGUUGUUCGGAUCAUUGGGGCGUAAAAGGGUGCGUAGGUGGCGCGAUAGUCGGGGUGUGAAAUCAUCGGAGCCUUAACUCCGAAAUUGCAUUCGUAUACUGGCCGUGCUCGAGGACUGGAGAGGAGACUAGGAAUUCCUGGUGUAGCUGGUGAAAAUGCGCAGAUAAUCAGGAGGAACACCCGGUGGCGAAGGCGGGUCUCUGGGCCGAAUAUCGGACGUGAGGAGCGAAAGCGUGGGGAGCAAACAGG
rnacentral:rRNA from 1 species